AACCGUACGGGAUAAUCGAUUAUCCCUGUGGUCGUGUUAAGUCGAACGCACGGGAUAAUCGAUUAUCCCGUUCCAUC
rnacentral:pre_miRNA from 10 species